rnacentral:misc_RNA from 1 species
GAGUUUUAAACUCACCAACCCACUGUGAACAUACCUACGUUGCUUCGGCGGCGGGCUUCGGCCCCCGCCGGGGACCCAAACACUAUUUUUAACCGAUACCUCUGAGUAAAAAACAAAUAAAUCAAAACCUUUAACAACGGAUCUCUUGGCUCU